GACGAACGCUGGCGGCGUGCUUAACACAUGCCAGUCGAACGGAAAGGCCCUGCUUUUGUGGGGUGCUCGAGUGGCGAACGGGUGAGUAACACGUGAGUAACCUGCCCUUGACUUUGGGAUAACUUCAGGAAACUGGGGCUAAUACCGGAUAGGAGCUCCUGCUGCAUGGUGGGGGUUGGAAAGUUUCGGCGGUUGGGGAUGGACUCGCGGCUUAUCAGCUUGUUGGUGGGGUAGUGGCUUACCAAGGCUUUGACGGGUAGCCGGCCUGAGAGGGUGACCGGCCACAUUGGGACUGAGAUACGGCCCAGACUCCUACGGGAGGCAGCAGUGGGGAAUAUUGCACAAUGGGCGGAAGCCUGAUGCAGCAACGCCGCGUGCGGGAGGACGGCCUUCGGGUGGUAAACCGCUUUCGCCUGUGACGAAGCGUGAGUGACGGGAAUGGGUAAAGAAGCACCGGCUAACUACGU
rnacentral:rRNA from 1 species